GAAUUUUGGACAAUGGGGGAAACCCUGAUCCAGCCAUCCCGCGUGUAUGAUGAAGGCCUUCGGGUUGUCAAGUACUUUUGGCAGAGAAGAAAAGGUAUCUCCUAAUACGAGAUACUGCUGACGGCAUCUUCAGAAUAAGCACCGGCUAACUACGGGCCAGCAGCCGCGGUAAUACGUAGGGUGCAAGCGUGAAUCGGAAUUACUUGGCGUAAAGCGUGUGUAGGCGGCUCGGAAAGAAGGAUGUGGAAUCCCAAGGCUCAACCUUGGAACUGCAUUUUUAACUGCCGAGCUAGAGUAUGCCAGAGGGGGGUAGAAUUCCACGUGUAGCAGUGAAAUGCGUAGAUAUGUAGAGGAAUACCGAUGGCGAAGGCAGCCCCCUGGGAUAAUACUGACGCUCAGACACGAAAGCGUGGGGAGCAAACAG
rnacentral:rRNA from 1 species